rnacentral:rRNA from 1 species
AACAGCUCAAAUUUGAAAUCUGGCCCUUCCGGGGCCCGAGUUGUAAUUUGUAGAGAGUGCUUCGGGGGAGAAUGCGGUCUAAGUCCAUUGGAACAUGGUGUCAUAGAGGGUGAGAAUCCCGUACGCGACCGCGGAUCGAACCCGUGUGAAGCCUCUUCGACGAGUCGAGUUGUUUGGGAAUGCAGCUCAAAAUGGGUGGUAAAUUUCAUCUAAAGCUAAAUACUGGCUGGAGACCGAUAGCGCACAAGUAGAGUGAUCGAAAGAUGAAAAGCACUUUGGAAAGAGAGUUAAACAGUACGUGAAAUUGUUGAAAGGGAAGCGCUGGCAACCAGACCUGCCCGUAGGCGAUCAACCGCUGUUCUCAGCGGUGCACUCGUUCUGCGAUCAGGCCAGCAUCGGUUUCGGCGGUCGGAUAAAGGCCUUGGGAAUGUAGCUUCCUUUCGGGGGAGUCUUAUAGCCCUCGGUGCAAUGCGGCCAGCCGGGACCGAGGACCGCGCUUCGGCUAGGAUGCUGGCGUAAUGGUUGUCAGCGACC